UCCCUGGUGGCUCAGAGGUUAAAGCGUCUGCCUGCAAUGUGGGAAACCUGGGUUCAAUCCCUGGGUUGGGAA
rnacentral:tRNA from 1 species